AAUAGGGCAAGUUGGGAGGUGGCUGUCCUGGGGUUUCAUGGGACAACAUUAAUUAACCUCAUGAAGUGCCUGCAUGGACAACGUGCCCGGUGUGGUUACAAACAAACCAAUCAGCACAGAUCCUGGGUGGAAAGCAGGGCGCAGCCACGGAGGCACAGUAGGGGUGCAGACUUGAAGGUUUUUAGGAGGUAAGCCCCGAGGGCAUGAAGCUCCACAGAGAGACUGUUGACCCGCCUGGGAGUGCAGCAACCUCCAAAAACCCAACUUUGCAAAGAUAUGGCAUCGUCAGAAGAAAUGGGGUGCAAUCUAAUGUUGACAGUGUGGAUGAGAGUGGGACACCUGCCAGUUGUUUGCAUCAGCAGACACUCAGAGUCCAUGGAAAAAAUGAGCCCAGAGGUUUUUAAACCACAACACAAGCAAAAGGCACCUGGUCCCGUUCCUCUUAAGACAGAAGAAAGAGGCGUAAAACCAGCUCCAGGUGCCACCCUUAAGAAAUGUUACAGUGCCGGAUGGGAAGAGUAAACCCUGAACAUCUCUUCUUAAUACUUUACAGACUUCAAGUGUAUUUUAUGGUGACAAAGCAUAUUGAAGACAAAUGAAACUCUACAACCCUGAAAACCAGCCUGAAUUAUUUUGAGAGACAGACAGUGGCUGCGAGGAGAAGCGUCGGGAUUUUCUGGGCUGGCCAUCUCCAGUGUCACUGACCCCGGUCUACCCCUGCAUGUUUGUUUACGGGAAAGGAGUUGAGGAGGAGGAUGUAUGGCUGAGAGCCUGAAAAUAAUCCAGGGCGGGCGGAGCGAGGAGAGGACUUUACUCCUCACACUCAUGUAGGCAUCCUGAAAAGCCACUUUUCUUUCCAAGGUUGGCACGGGCCUUGAGCUUGGAGUGCAGCCAGAUAAAGUUGUCCGCUCUGGGUCAUCAGAUGGAGAUCUGAUCUUGGGUCAUGAAUUGUGGUUUUAGGAGAAAGGCAGAGGCUAAAUCCAUCUUCUAUCUGGUGGGGAGGCCCAGCAAAGGGCUCAGAAACACAGCCACGGGCCUCUUGCAGCAGCUGGAUGCACAUUUCAGGAGGUUGCCUGAAAGCAGAAUUGACUUCAGAGAGUAGGGCAGCAGAGCCCAGCCACAGAGUGGUCCCAGGAGCCAGGAAGUGCCACACAGCCCCUCGCUUAUUUUUACUCAGUAUGCCACGGAAGGCCUGACCUGUUAAAAGUGCCCUUUAAGAAUGGCUGGCCCGCCCUCUCUCAGAGGGUUCAUGCUGGGGAGAAGGUUCCUGCACGCCCGCUAAGCUCCAAAUGACAACCCAGGUGUAGAAAGGGCUUAGACUUUGGAGUUCAAACCCAUUCUAGCAUCCGGUCCAAGGCCAGUUACAGCCAAUGGGCAGUGGUAGGUGCAGCCCAGCCCAUUAGCUCAUUCUUGAGCCUCAGAGGGACAGAGCAGCACUAACGGGUGCACAAAUGGCUAGAAUGUUCACCAACUCCUCGAGGGUGGCAUUGGACAUUUGGGCAAGGGUCUUAUGGAGGCUGAGAGUUGACUGUGGGCUCAUCACAGCUAUUUUGAGGGUCUUGACAGCCCAACUAGCAAACAAUUCUGCAGGGAUGAGAGGUCAGGGCAAAGGGAAAUGGCAUUGUCAAGUGGACAGCCAAAAAGUCCAGGAUGCCCCCAGGUCCCGGGGAACGGCGGGGGAGGAACUCAGGGACUGGAUUACCCACAGGACCUGGUGAGACCCACAGCCACGGGCUGACUUAUGUCCACUCGGAAGCGUAUGUUAAAAUCCUAAUCCCCAGUACUUUGGAAUGUGACCUUAUUUGGAAAUAGGGACUUUGAAGAUGAUCAAGUUAAGAUGAAGUCAUGGGGCCGGGAGCGGUGGCUCACGCCUGUAAUCGCAGCACUUCGGGAGGCCGAGGCGGGCAGAUCACGAGGUGAGGAGAUCGAGACCAUACUGGCUAACACGGUGAAACCCCUUCUCUACUAAAAAUACAAAAAAAAAAAAAUUAGCCGGGCAUGGUGGCGGGCACCUGUAGUCCCAGCUACUCAGGAGGCUGAGGCAGGAGAAUGGCACGAACCCUGGAGGUGGAGCUCGCAGUGAGCCGAGAUCGUGCCACUGCACUCCAGCCUGGGAGACAGAGCGAGACUCCGUCUCAAAUAAAUAAAUAAAUAAAGAUGAAGUCAUUAGGGUAGACCGUAAAGCAACAGAGCUAGUGUCCUUAUAAAGAGGGGAAGUCUGGACACAGACACACACCUGCACUGAGGGAAGUGGGUGGGAAACACUGGGAAGACGCCACGUGACUGCAGUGACGCAGCUGCACGCCAAGUGAUGCCUGGGGCACUGGAAGCCGGGGAGAGGGUUCCUGCCUGGCCCCUAAGCUCCAAAUGACAACCCAGGCAUAGGAAGGGCCUACACUUUGGGGUUCAAACCUAUCCUGGAGUCCGGUCUGGGGCCAGUUACAGCUAA